AUGGAUUCCUUCUCCGCUCCGCCGAGUCGUCCCUCCUCUCAACUAUCCCCUCAGGAUCUUAAAGAUCAGUUGAAAAGCCAACUUGCCAUGGAGUAUGCUCAACAAUUUCUUGAGACUGUGAGAGGAAAGUGUUUUGAGAAGUGUAUCACGAAACCAAGUUCGAGCCUCAGUGGGGGUGAAAGCAGUUGCAUCUCUAGGUGUGUAGACCGAUAUAUUGAGGCCACGGGCAUAAUUAGCAAAGCAUUAUUUAGUGGUCAACAAUGA